rnacentral:rRNA from 1 species
UACGUAGGUGGCAAGCGUUGUCCGGAUUUACUGGGCGUAAAGAGCGCGCAGGCGGUCGUAUAAGUCGAAUGUGAAAGCCCCCGGCUCAACUGGGGAGAGUCAUUCGAUACUGUUCGACUCGAAGGCAGGAGAGGGAUGCAGGAAUUCCAGGUGUAGCGGUGGAAAUGACGUAGAUAUCUGGAGGAAUACCGGUGGCGAAGGCGGCAUCCUGGACCGACGAUUGACGCUGAACGG